rnacentral:rRNA from 1 species
AUUGAACGCUGGCGGCAGGCCUAACACAUGCAAGUCGAACGAGUGGCGGACGGGUGAGCAAUGUCUGGGAACCUGCCUGAUGGAGGGGGAUAACUACUGGAAACGGUAGCUAAUACCGCAUACCAUCGGAUGUGCCCAGAUGGGAUUAGCUAGUGGGUGGGGUAACGGCUCACCUAGGCGACGAUCCCUACCUGGUCUGAGAGGAUGACCAGCCACACUGGGACUGAGACACGGGCCAGACUCCUACGGGAGGCAGCAGUGGGGAAUAUUGGGCAAUGGGCGCAAGCCUGAUGCAGCCAUGCCGCGUGUAUGAAGAAGGCCUUCGGGUUGUAAAGUACUGUCAGCGGGGAGGCGUUACCCGCAGAAGAAGCACCGGCUAACUCCGUGCCAGCAGCCGCGGUAAUUC